rnacentral:rRNA from 1 species
AUGAACAUAGCUCUCCUGACGAAGUGGCUGUGGCGGAUUGCGAAUGGAGAGGGUGGCUUGUGGCUUCACAUCAUCCAGCAGAAAUACCUCUGUGGCCAGCCACUCGCCUUCUGCCAGCGGUCCGGUGGAUCCCAGUUUUGGCAAUCCAUCAUUCAGCUCCUCCCAAUCCUCCGCAUAGGGACCUCGAUUGCGGUUGAAUCGGGCACCGCCACACUGUUUUGGUUUGAUAGAUGGGCUGGGAACUCCCCCUUUGCGAUGCGCUUCCCUGAUCUAUUCUCUAUCGCGGUAGAGCCGCGGAUCUCUGUUGCGAUGGACCUUAUUGACUUAGGGCACCUCGCGUUCCGGAGACCGUUUGUACCAGCCGAAAAUGAUGUGUGGCAAGACCUACUUGAUUGCAUCGCCUUGCAUGAGCCGAAUCUGGAGAUUGGAGAGGACCGCACCAGGUGGCGGCUAGAGCCAUCUGGACAAUUCUCCUCUAAAUCUCUAUACCAUGCCAUAGCCCCCUCGCUAGGCCCUGAGGCUCUCACCACCAUCUGGGAGAUUCGGCUCCCCUUGAAGAUUAGGAUUUUCUUAUGGCAAUGGAUUCACGGCCGCCUUCCGUCCAGCGUUGAGGUCCUGAAGCGCAACGGCCCUGGUGACGGGCGAUGCCCGCUCUGCGGGCCUGAAGAGGAUACGAACCAUAUCUUCUUCACAUGUACGUCCGCGCAGUUCCUCUGGAGCUGA